UGACUUUGGAGUGAGAUCCAAUCUCUAGAACUAUGCUAUACACCAACCAUUCCAAUUCAGAACGAACUUCGUACGAACCUGAAUUGUCCAAUUUCAUUUACCAAUCGAUAUCGGAUUGAACCCAAAACUUGGGGAACAUCACAAGAUGCUGGGAGGGCUCAUUUGGUAGGUUUUGAGAGAUAUCCAAUCUCUAGAGCUAUGCAAUAAAAUAACCACUCCAUUUCUUAAUGAACUUCGUACGAACCUGAAUUGUUCAAUUUCAUCGACCAAUCGAUAUCGGAUUGAGUCCAAAACUUGGGGAACAUCAUAACAUGGUGGGAGGAGUCAUUUCGUGAGUUUUGAGUGAAAUCUAAUAUCUAAAACUAUGCAAUACACCAACCACUCCAUUUCAGAACGAACUUCGUACGAACCUGAAUUGUGCAAUUUCAUGGACCAAUCGAUAUCGGAUUGAGUCCAAAAAUUGGGAAACAUCAUAAUAUGGUGGGAGUAGUCAUUUCGUGAGUUUUGAGUGAAAUCCAAUCUCUAAACCUAUGCAAUACACUAACCACUCCAUUUCAGAACGAACUUCGUACGAACCUGAAUUGUGCAAUUUCAUGGACCAAUUGAUAUCGGAUUGAGUCCAAAACUUG
rnacentral:lncRNA from 1 species